AUGACUGCUCUUAUCGGUAUGGAUCCUACCGAGGAGGAGGGAGAAGAGAAGAAGAAGAAGGAAAGGAAAGCAGCCGGAGCUGCUUUCACGUGGAUUCAAAGGAACUUUGCCCAUUGCCCUGCAGAUGCCACUGAUGAUGUGAUCCAGACACAUGCUCGUGUCUAUAUGUGGUACGUUGUCUCGAGGACUUUGUUUCCUGACUCCACGGGCAAGAGCGCUCCAUGGAUGUGGCUGAAGGCAUUGACCAUAUUCGAUAGCAGAUGGAGCUGGGGUUCAGCGCCUCUUGCCUACUUGUACUGA
rnacentral:rRNA from 1 species